UACAGAGGUCUCAAGCGUUGUUCGGAUUCAUUGGGCGUAAAGGGUGUGUAGGUGGCGCUGUAAGUCGGGUGUGAAAUUUCGGAGCUUAACUCCGAAACUGCAUUCGAUACUGCGGUGCUUGAGGACUGGAGAGGAGACUGGAAUUCAUGGUGUAGCAGUGAAAAUGCGUAGAGAUCAUGAGGAAGACCAGUGGCGAAGGCGGGUCUCUGGACAGUUCCUGACACUGAGACACGAAGGCCAGGGGAGCAAACGGG
rnacentral:rRNA from 1 species